UACGUAGGGUGCGAGCGUUGUCCGGAAUUAUUGGGCGUAAAGAGCUUGUAGGCGGUUUGUCGCGUCUGCCGUGAAAAUCCGGGGCUCAACCCCGGACUUGCGGUGGGUACGGGCAGACUAGAGUGUGGUAGGGGAGACUGGAAUUCCUGGUGUAGCGGUGAAAUGCGCAGAUAUCAGGAGGAACACCGAUGGCGAAGGUAGGUCUCUGGGCCACUACUGACGCUGAGAAGCGAAAGCGUGGGGAGCGAACAGG
rnacentral:rRNA from 1 species